GCAGAUGUGCAGCCAGGCCAGCCAUUUAUCUCCAUGUGGGUUCCGUCCCAUGAUGUGAUGGGGGCGAGCCUAUCACCAUAUAUAAAAACCUAUAUAACUGGCCGACCCGGAAUUCGAACCCCGGACUUCAGAACGGUGUCCUACCGAGCCCGCAAUACAACUACGCCAUCAAGACCUUAUUACAUAACAACUCAUAUAAAACACGGUACGGGAAAAUACGUGUUAUUCGGAAUAAUAAAAGAGAAACGGCACAGCUAGUAUUCAGAACAGGUUUUAUAAGAGGUUAUCAAACGGAACAUGAAGAUGAACGCGCCAGUCAAUCGCAAGUGUACUACGCACUGAGUCAGUCUUACGGAAAA